AUUGAACGCUGGCGGCAUGCCUUACACAUGCAAGUCGAACGGCAGCACGGGGGCGAACCCUCGGUGGCGAGUGGCGAACGGGUGAGUAAUACAUCGGAACGUGCCCGGUACGUGGGGGAGUAGCUCGGCGAAAGCCGGAUUAAUACCGCAUACGACCUACGGGUGAAAGCGGGGGAGUCGCAAGACCUCGCGCUAUCGGAGCGGCCGAUGUCAGAUUAGGUUGUUGGUGGGGUAAAGGCCUACCAAGCCGACGAUCUGUAGCUGGUCUGAGAGGACGACCAGCCACACUGGGA
rnacentral:rRNA from 1 species